rnacentral:lncRNA from 1 species
ACAGUACCACUGCUGGAUAAUUGGAAAGUCCCUGUGUGUCAACCUCUGUGCUUCGUGGCAAGGUAGACUAGCAAACAUGCCCAACCUUUACUCACAUUCGAGAAAACACUCCCAAUAAGAUUGCUUGCUCCAAAAUCGAAGAGGCACCGUCCUCCGAAUCUCGAGAGCCAGACUCCCAACAUGACUACUUUCUUAAAAAUCGAAGAGAGGGUAAAGGAACAGUACCAUUGUUGGAUAAUUGGAAAGUCCCUGUGUGUCAACCUCUGUGCUUCGUGGCAAGGUAGACUAGCAAACAUGCCCAACCUUUACUCACAUUCGAGAAAAACACUCCCAACAAGAUUGCUUGCUCCAAAAUCGAAGAGGCACCGCCCUCCGAAUCUCGAGAGCCAGACUCCCAACAUGAUUACUUUCUCAAAAAUCGAAGAGACACUGCUCCCCGAAUCUCGAGAGCCAGACCCCCAGCAUGAUUGCUUUCUCAAAAAUCGAUGAGGCAUCGUUCUCCGAAUCAAUCGAAGAGGCGCUCGCUUUCUCAAAAGCUGGGCUGCUCAGAGACCACGAGGGCCGAUCUCAGAAAUCGAAGAGGCACCUACUUUUCUAGCCUUGUCAGCACCUGUCACACGCACACUCAGUUUUGCAGAAAUUAUGGGCAUUCUGUCGAAGACUUCUGGUGAAGUAGAAAGCACAUGAAUCUUACUGUUCAAUCACCCACUUCCCACACGCAACAAUAGCUCAUGGGUACCACAAAUAACUUUGCCAAAGUUCUCUGCCAAAGUUGAGCACGUGAAGCUUGCAGCUCCCACUACAUCGCUCUGACCAAGAAAGGUAAAAGAAUAGCAAAAGAAACAGCACUAACAAAAGUUUAGACACAUAAAUUUUGAAGGUCUAGCUACCAUAUUAUUACCCACAACUGUAAAGGAACAGUACCACUGGUGGAUAAUUGGAAAGUCCCUGUGUGUCAACCUCUGUGCUUCGUGUGGCAAGGUAGACUAGCAAACAUGCCCAAACCUUUACUCACAUUCGAGAAAAACACUCCCAAUAAGAUUGCUUGCUCCAAAAUCGAAGAGGCACCGUCCUCCGAAUCUCGAGAGCCAGACUCCCAACAUGACUACUUUCUCAAAAUCGAAGAGAGGGUAAAGGAACAGUACCAUUGCUGGAUAAUUGGAAAGUCCCUGUGUGUCAACCUUUGUGCUUCGUGGCAAGGUAGACUAGCAAACAUGCCCAACCUUUACUCACAUUCGAGACAACACUCCCAACAAGAUUGCUU